rnacentral:rRNA from 1 species
AACGAACGCUGGCGGCAGGCCUAACACAUGCAAGUCGAGCGAGAUCUUCGGGUCUAGCGGCGGACGGGUGAGUAACGCGUGGGAAUAUGCCUCUUGGUACGGAAUAGCCUCGGGAAACUGGGAGUAAUACCGUAUGUGCCCUUUGGGGGAAAGAUUUAUCGCCAAGAGAUUAGCCCGCGUUGGAUUAGGUAGUUGGUGGGGUAAUGGCCUACCAAGCCGGCGAUCCAUAGCUGGUUAGAGGGGAUGAUCAGCCACACUGGGACGGGGACCCGGCCCAAAACUCCCGGAGAGGAAGCAAGGGGGACACUAAGAACGGGAGUGAAACCCUGAACCACCCGGGCCGUGAAAAUGUGUUAGGCCUUAAGAUUGUAAAUCUCUUUCAACGGGGAAAGAUUGACCGUAACCAGUAAAAAAGCCCCCGCUAAAUCCGUG